CAGUCGCCGCGGGAAUACGAAGGGGGCUAGCGUUGUUCGGAAUUACUGGGCGUAAAGCGCACGUAGGCGGACAUUUAAGUCAGGGGUGAAAUCCCGGGGCUCAACCCCGGAACUGCCUUUGAUACUGGGUGUCUAGAGUAUGGAAGAGGUGAGUGGAAUUCCGAGUGUAGAGGUGAAAUUCGUAGAUAUUCGGAGGAACACCAGUGGCGAAGGCGGCUCACUGGUCCAUUACUGACGCUGAGGUGCGAAAGCGUGGGGAGCAAACAGGAUUAGAUACCCGAGUAGUCCCUGUCUCUUAUAA
rnacentral:rRNA from 1 species